rnacentral:rRNA from 1 species
AGCGAACGUUAGCGGCGGGCCUAACACAUGCAAGUCGAACGAGAAUGAAGGGGCAACUCUUCUAGUAAAGUGGCGGACGGGUGCGUAACACGUGGGUAAUCAACCUUCUGGCGGGGACGAACAGUCCGAAAGGACUGCUAAUACCGCGUAAGUCGGCGAGGACUCUGGUUCUUGCCGGGAAAGCUGGCCUCUCCAUGGAAGCUA